rnacentral:rRNA from 1 species
GGAACUGAGACACGGUCCAGACUCCUACGGGAGGCAGCAGUGGGGAAUAUUGCACAAUGGGCGCAAGCCUGAUGCAGCCAUGCCGCGUGUGUGAAGAAGGCCUUCGGGUUGUAAAGCACUUUCAGUCGUGAGGAAGGUGGUGGUGUUAAUAGCAGUAUCAUUUGACGUUAGCGACAGAAGAAGCACCGGCUAACUCCGUGCCAGCAGCCGCGGUAAUACGGAGGGUGCGAGCGUUAAUCGGAAUUACUGGGCGUAAAGCGCAUGCAGGUGGUUUGUUAAGUCAGAUGUGAAAGCCCGGGGCUCAACCUCGGAAUUGCAUUUGAAACUGGCAGACUAGAGUACUGUAGAGGGGGGUAGAAUUUCAGGUGUAGCGGUGAAAUGCGUAGAGAUCUGAAGGAAUACCGGUGGCGAAGGCGGCCCCCUGGACAGAUACUGACACUCAGAUGCGAAAGCGUGGGGAGCAAACAGGAUUAGAUACCCUGGUAGUCCACGCCGUAAACGAUGUCUACUUGGAGGUUGUGGCCUUGAGCCGUGGCUUUCGGAGCUAACGCGUUAAGUAGACCGCCUGGGGGAGUACGGUCGCAAGAUUAAAACUCAAAUGAAUUGACGGGGGCCCGCACAAGCGGUGGGAGCAUGUGGUUUAAUUCGAUGCAACGCGAAGAAUCCUUACCUACUCUUGACAUCCAGAAGAACUUUCCAGAGAUGAUUGCUGCCUUUCAGGAACUCUGAGAACAGGUGCUGCAUGACUGUCGUCAGCUCGUGUUGUGAAAUGAUCGGGAUAGGUCCCCGCCACGAGGCGCAACCGUUUAUCCUUGUUUUGCAGCG